rnacentral:rRNA from 1 species
UACGGAGGGGGCUAGCGUUGUUCGGAAUUACUGGGCGUAAAGCGCUCGUAGGUGGCUUUGUAAGUUAGAGGUGAAAGCCCAGGGCUUAACCCUGGAAUUGCCUUUAAGACUGCAUCGCUAGAAUCGUGGAGAGGUGAGUGGAAUUCCGAGUGUAGAGGUGAAAUUCGUAGAUAUUCGGAAGAACACCAGUGGCGAAGGCGACUCACUGGACACGUAUUGACGCUGAGGUGCGAAAGCGUGGGGAGCAAACAGG